rnacentral:rRNA from 1 species
GACCCCCCCCUAUAAGCGCGCGCAUGCACGUCGAGCGGAUGGAAGGGAGCUUGCUCCUGGAUUCAGCGGCGGACGGGUGAGUAAUGCCUAGGAAUCUGCCUGGUAGUGGGGGAUAACGUCCGGAAACGGGCGCUAAUACCGCAUACGUCCUGAGGGAGAAAGUGGGGGAUCUUCGGACCUCACGCUAUCAGAUGAGCCUAGGUCGGAUUAGCUAGUUGGUGGGGUAAAGGCCUACCAAGGCGACGAUCCGUAACUGGUCUGAGAGGAUGAUCAGUCACACUGGAACUGAGACACGGUCCAGACUCCUACGGGAGGCAGCAGUGGGGAAUAUUGGACAAUGGGCGAAAGCCUGAUCCAGCCAUGCCGCGUGUGUGAAGAAGGUCUUCGGAUUGUAAAGCACUUUAAUUUGGGAGGAAGGGCAGUAAGUUAAUACCUUGCUGU